rnacentral:rRNA from 1 species
GACGAACGCUGGCGGCGUGCUUAACACAUGCAAGUCGAACGGAAAGGCCUGCUUUCCCUUGUGGAUUGCGGGUACUCGAGUGGCGAACGGGUGAGUAACACGUGAGUGAUCUGCCCCCAACUUGGGUAUAAGCCUGGGAAACUGGGUCUAAUUCCCGAUAGGACUGCAGGGUGGUGCCUGUGGUGGAAAACGGUUUUCUAGUGGUUGGGGAUGAGCUCGCGGCCUAUCAGCUUGUUGGUGGGGUAAUGGCCUACCAAGGCGGCGACGGGUAGCCGGCCUGGGAGGGUGGACGGCCACAUUGGGACUGGGAUACGGCCCAGACUCCUGCGGGAGGCAGCAGUGGGGAAUAUUGCACCAUGGGCGGAAGCCUGAUGCAGCGACGCCGCGUGGGGGAUGACGGCCUUCGGGUUGUAAACUCCUUUCGACCGCGAGGAAGCCACCUGGUUGGAAGGGUGGUGACGGUAGUGGUAGAAGAAGCACCGGCUAACUACGUG